rnacentral:misc_RNA from 1 species
UCCUUCUUAUCGAAGGCAGUUUUCGAAGAGUGCAUCCCUUGCGGGAUUAGCAACAUCGAAUGGGGGUUGCGCUCGUUGCGGGACUUAACCCAACAUCUCACGACACGAGCUGACGACAACCAUGCAGCACCUCUGCUGGUAACCUUGCGGAUUCCUCCCUGUUUCCAGGAAGGCAUUUGACCAGUAGUUCAAGCCCAGGUAAGGUUCUUCGCGUUGCGUCGAAUUAAACCACAUGCUCCACCGCUUGUGCGGGCCCCCGUCAAUUCCUUUGAGUUUCAACCUUGCGGCCGUACUCCCCAGGCGGCUAAUUUAAUGCGUUAGCUUCGGCGCGGGAGGGGUCGAUACCUUCCACACCUAAUUAGCAUCGUUUAGGGCUAGGACUAC